rnacentral:tRNA from 1 species
GUGAACUUAACUCAGUUGGUAGGGAUAUUGCAUAUUAUAUGCAGGAGGCCGGGGUUCGAACUCCGGACUUCCCA